rfam:Tamlana nanhaiensis strain FHC16 contig10, whole genome shotgun sequence.
GGGGUCGACUGGUUUUGACAGCGAGAUUAAUUGAACGGUAAGCACGUGGUGUAAUGGUUUUGAAACACCUAAAAGGCUAGACCAAACUUUAAACGGCGAGAAUAACUACGCUUUAGCUGCUUAAUAACUGAAUUAUAGUAAGUUCAAGCCCCGGCACACAAGGUGUGCAAGCUAAAUGUCUCUAGAAAGCCCUGGUUAAUGGCGUUCUUUUUUGAGGCAUCGUAAAGAUUAACUAAGAUUAGGUAGCGCUUUGAUGCCUUUUCGAGAUUUAAAAGCUAAGUUGUAAGUGGGUUGUCUUUAACCAGCUUGCAAUCGAAAAAAUAAGAAAAGAAUAAACGUGUAGAAAGCCCUUUGGUUACUUGUUUGGACGAGAGUUCGAUUCUCUCCGACUCCACAA